GGUACCUGCGGCGUGCCUACACAUGCAAGUCGAGCGAACCUUCGGGGUGAGCGGCGGACGGGUGAGUAACGCGUGGGUAACCUGCCCUGUACACACGGAUAACAUACCGAAAGGUAUGCUAAUACGGGAUAAAAUAUGAGAGUCGCAUGGCUUUUGUAUCAAAGCUCCGGCGGUACAGGAUGGACCCGCGUCUGAUUAGCUAGUUGGUAAGGUAACGGCUUACCAAGGCAACGAUCAGUAGCCGACCUGAGAGGGUGAUCGGCCACAUUGGAACUGAGACACGGUCCAAACUCCUACGGGAGGCAGCAGUGGGGAAUAUUGCACAAUGGGCGAAAGCCUGAUGCAGCAACGCCGCGUGAGCGAUGAAGGCCUUCGGGUCGUAAAGCUCUGUCCUCAAGGAAGAUAAUGACGGUACUUGAGGAGGAAGCCCCGGCUAACUACGUGCCAGCAGCCGCGGUAAUACGUAGGGGGCUAGCGUUAUCCGGAAUUACUGGGCGUAAAGGGUGCGUAGGCGGUCUUUCAAGCCAGAAGUGAAAGGCUACGGCUCAACCGUAGUAAGCUUUUGGAACUGUAGGACUUGAGUGCAGGAGAGGAGAGUGGAAUUCCUAGUGUAGCGGUGAAAUGCGUAGAUAUUAGGAGGAACACCAGUAGCGAAGGCGGCUCUCUGGACUGUAACUGACGCUGAGGCACGAAAGCGUGGGGAGCAAACAGGAUUAGAUACCCUGGUAGUCCACGCCGUAAACGAUGAGUACUAGGUGGUCGGGGGUUACCCCCCUCGGUGCCGCAGCUAACGCAUUAAG
rnacentral:rRNA from 1 species